rnacentral:tRNA from 1 species
GUUGGGAUGGCAGAGUCCGGUAACUGCAAAAGGCCUAAGCCCUUUCCUGCAGAGGUUCAAAUCCUCUUCUCAACU